UUACCCUCAGGAUAGCUGGAGGUCGGGCGCGAGUUUUAUCGGUUAAAGCCAACGAUUAGAGGCAUCGGGGGUGCAACACCCUCUACCUAUUCUCAAAAUUAAAAUAGAUAGGAUGACACGGCUGCUUCGUUGAGCCGCACCAUGAAAUCGAGAGCUCCAAGUGGUAAGCAGAAUUGGCAAUGCGGAAUGAAUCG
rnacentral:rRNA from 1 species